rnacentral:rRNA from 1 species
GACGAACGCUGGCGGCGUGCUUAACACAUGCAAGUCGAGCGGUAAGGCCCUUUCGGGGGUACACGAGCGGCGAACGGGUGAGUAACACGUGGGUGACCUGCCCUCAGCUCUGGGAUAAGCCCGGGAAACUGGGUCUAAUACCGGAUAUGACUUCAUGACGCAUGUUGUGGAGUGGAAAGCCUUGUGCGGCUGAGGAUGGGCCCGCGGCCUAUCAGCUUGUUGGUGGGGGAUGGCCUACCAAGGCGACGACGGGUAGCCGGCCUGAGAGGGCGACCGGCCACACUGGGACUGAGACACGGCCCAGACUCCUACGGGAGGCAGCAGUGGGGAAUCUUGCGCAAUGGGCGAAAGCCUGACGCAGCGACGCCGCGUGAGGG